rnacentral:rRNA from 1 species
GACGGACGCUGGCGGCGUGCUUAACACAUGCAAGUCGAACGGAAAGGCCCCUUUCGGGGGGUACUCGAGUGGCGAACGGGUGAGUAACACGUGAGUAACCUGCCCUUGACUUUGGGAUAACUUCAGGAAACUUGGGCUAAUACCGGAUAGGAGCUCCUGCUGCAUGGUGGGGGUUGGAAAGUUUCGGCGGUUGGGGAUGGACUCGCGGCUUAUCAGCUUGUUGGUGGGGUAGUGGCUUACCAAGGCUUUGACGGGUAGCCGGCCUGAGAGGGUGACCGGCCACAUUGGGACUGAGAUACGGCCCAGACUCCUACGGGAGGCAGCAGUGGGGAAUAUUGCACAAUGGGUGGAAGCCUGAUGCAGCAACGCCGUGUGCGGGAUGACGGCCUUCGGGUUGUAAACCGCUUUCGCUCAUGACGAAGCUUUGUGUGACGGUAGUGGGUAAAGAAGCACCGGCUAACUACGUG